rnacentral:rRNA from 1 species
GGCGAACGCUGGCGGCGUGCUUAACACAUGCAAGUCGAACGGAAAGGCCCUGCUUUUGUGGGGUGCUCGAGUGGCGAACGGGUGAGUAACACGUGAGUAACCUGCCCUUGACUUUGGGAUAACUUCAGGAAACUGGGGCUAAUACCGGAUAGGAGCUCCUGCUGCAUGUGGGUGUUGGAAAGUUUCGGCGGUUGGGGAUGGACUCGCGGCUUAUCAGCUUGUUGGUGGGGUAGUGGCUUACCAAGGCUUUGACGGGUAGCCGGCCUGAGAGGGUGACCGGCCACAUUGGGACUGAGAUACGGCCCAGACUCCUACGGGAGGCAGGAGUGGGGAAUAUUGCACAAUGGGCGGAAGCAUGAUGCAGCAACGCCGCGUGCGGGAUGACGGCCUUCGGGUUGUAAACCGCUUUCGCCUGUGACGAAGCGUGAGUGACGGUAAUGGGUAAAGAAGCACCGGCUAACUACGUG